rnacentral:tRNA from 1 species
ACGAGCGUAGCUUAACGGAAGAGCAGCGGUCUCCAAAAUCGCGUGGUGAGGGUUCAACUCCUUCCGCUCGUGCCA